AAGUCCAUAAAAAUUAAUCAUAACUCAUAUCACUUCUGAACUCAUAUCAAAACUCAUUUUAGAAAUUGAUACUAUGCCUGAACUUAACUGAGCAGCUCUGAUGUUCUCUUGCCAUCACUUUUUCACUAGUAGUAUGACUACCAAGAAAUUUCCAGUAAUUGUCUGUCGAAACAUAACUGAGAAACCCGAAUUAUCUUAUUUAAUACCUUUGAACGAAGAUCUUGGAAACCCAUCCAGC
rnacentral:lncRNA from 1 species